rnacentral:rRNA from 1 species
GUGGUUUAAUUCGAUGAUACGCGAGGAACCUUACCAAGGCUUAAAUGGGAAUUGAUCGGUUUAGAAAUAGACCUUCCUUCGGGCAAUUUUCAAGGUGCUGCAUGGUUGUCGUCAGCUCGUGCCGUGAGGUGUUAGGUUAAGUCCUGCAACGAGCGCAACCCCUGUCACUAGUUGCUAGCAUUAAGUUGAGGACUCUAGUGAGACUGCCUACGCAAGUAGAGAGGAAGGUGGGGAUGACGUCAAAUCAUCACGGCCCUUACGCCUUGGGCCACACACGUAAUACAAUGGCCGGUACAGAGGGCAGCUACACAGCGAUGUGAUGCAAAUCUCGAAAGCCGGUCUCAGUUCGGAUUGGAGUCUGCAACUCGACUCUAUGAAGCUGGAAUCGCUAGUAAUCGCGCAUCAGCCAUGGCGCGGUGAAUACGUUCCCGGGCCUUGUACACACCGCCCGUCAAGCCAUGGAAGUCUGGGGUACCUGAAGUCGGUGACCGUAAAAGGAGCUGCCUAGGGUAAAACAGGUAACUAGGGCUAAGUCGUAACAA